rnacentral:rRNA from 1 species
UACGGAGGGUGCGAGCGUUAAUCGGAAUUACUGGGCGUAAAGGGUGCGUAGGUGGUUUGAUAAGUUAACUGUGAAAGCCCCGGGCUUAACCUGGGAGGGUCAGUUAAGACUGUUGGACUAGAGUAUGGGAGAGGGUAGUGGAAUUUCCGGUGUAGCGGUGAAAUGCGUAGAGAUCGGAAGGAACACCAGUGGCGAAGGCGGCUACCUGGCCUAAUACUGACACUGAGGCACGAAAGCGUGGGGAGCAAAC